rnacentral:lncRNA from 1 species
CAGGGGAUUGAGACAGAUGGUCUGGCCUAGCUGUAAGAACCUUUGCCCACUGAGCCAUCCUGAGAGCCCUGGCUUCUUUCUCUACAAGGGUUUCUGAAGCUCAUCCUCACUGUCGUAUAAGGGUCGUAAGCAGCCCAUGCUGGCCUGGAACUCAUUACGUCGCAGAGGAUGGCCUUAAACUCCUGAUGCUCUGGGUUCUACCUCUUGAGUGUGGAGAGUAUAAUCAAUCCUACUUGAUUUAUGUGGUGCUCAGAAUCGAACCCGGGGCUUUGUGUGCAGUAGGUAAGCGCCUUAUCUGCUGAGCCCCAGCCCUAGCCCCUAGAGUGCCACCUCUUCACCUCUUCACGGGACCUGGCGUUCCCCGCC